ensembl:snoRNA Small nucleolar RNA SNORD2
GUGUGAAAUGAUGGUACCAUCUUUCGGGACUGACUUGUCAUGGAGAUGUCUCUUUUUUUACUGAUCACGU